ensembl:lncRNA
UAAAAAGUAAAGUUAGAAAGGAGGUGACAGCAGCAAUGAGUCCCAUGGAUUGACUGCAGUGUCUGAACCAUCUUGCUUUGAUUUGAUUUGGCCUGGAGCAUCCAACUGGUUUAUUUGAAACCCCCCAGCUGCUGACAGACAGGGAUGGGGAGCAGUUCUUCUCUCAUCUGCAGCUCAUUGUGACUCACGAUUUUACAGACCUCUCCCAUACUUCUUCCUUAUUCCAGUUACUCCUCAUACAGAAGCAGUCUAUUUCUUCAAAUCACCUUUUUCCUUCCUCCUGAACAUAUUCCACAUCCACUACAACUGGAGAAGGGUUAUCCAUGCACAGGCUAUAAACCCACCCUGUCAGCCUGGAACCUUGAACUGUCCUGUCCUACAGCUCACCAGUUCGUGACUGAGAUUAAAACUGCUCCCAGGUCCUUCUUCUGCUCUGUGCCCCUGUGAUGACAGAUGAUGUAUUUUCCUCUCUGAGUGUUUACAGGAUAACAGAGGGAAGAAUUGUGACUUUCCACAGUACUCUGCAGUGAGUCCCUGCCAUAAUGAGGGUGCAUCAGUGAAUGCUACAAACCAAAUCAAGGUUGAAUGAAUAAAAAUGAAGACCCAGAUCUGCACACAGGCUGACUGUGCAAACCCUCUCAAACCUUCCUCUGAUCCCCCUGGGACAACAGACAGCUCACAGAGCCGUUCUGCACAGGAAAAGAAACUCAGACCCUGAUAAGAGGGGGACUCAGAGGGAGCUGUAGCUCCAGGACAGUAACCAUGUAUUGCUCUCAGCUAUAACAACACCCAGCAACACACGUAGGGAUGUAGCUCUGGUCUCCCUCUGACUGAGGCAGAAUGGCUGCGAUUUAUCAGACUCUGUCCUGAAAAACCGUGGUGGCCCAC